GCGAGAUCUUUGGUAUAAAGUGCCAGAAAGAAAUUGUUUCUUGUUAUUGUUUUUCUAGAGACAGGAUUUAUUUAUAUUUGACUAGAGCUUUUUUUAAACCUGAAGAAGCAUUUCUGUUUGGCGCAACAGAAGGAUGGGCGAGAAUCAGCAGUCACUCAAACUUGAAGAAUGCAAAAAGCAAUUGGUACCCACAUCAGAUCCCGCAGCCUGUUUAAGGACACUGCCUACACUAGUCAAUUUACUGUUAUCAGUCGCUUCUGUAGGAUUUUGUUUGUUAUUAAAUGUUAAAAUGGCAGCUUUACAAGACAAAAUAAAGCUAUUGGAAAAUCAAAACGGAAGCAAUUCAUUGAAAGCAGCGCGAGACAAUGCAGAUUUGUUGUUUGUGCUACAGAAAAGGAUCGACAAACUUCAGGAGGAGUUAACUAGCACAGUUGGGAAAAUAAGGACAAUUCGAGAAGUUUCAUCUGAAUGUCUUUGUCCACCAGGUCCCCCAGGGAAGCGAGGCAAAACAGGAAGAAGAGGAGCCACUGGAUUCCCUGUAAGUGUGGUGGAUGCUACGGAAUUGAUUGGGUCUACUGAGUUAAGGAACCUCAUCUCCUUUGUCUAUGGAGAACCAGGAAGAGAUGGCUAUCCGGGCCCUCUUGGAUUGGAUGGAAAACCAGGCCUUCCUGGAUCAAAAGGAGAAAAGGGUGAUCAAGGUUACACUGGACCUGCUGGUCCUCCAGGUCCAACAGGUUCUGCAGGAGUCUCAGGAAAAGAUGGCCCACGUGGAUUUCCAGGAGCUCCCGGUGAACCUGGGAUGAAAGGUGAAAGUGGCACUCCAGGAUUAAAUGGUAUAGUGGGUCGUAAGGGAGACUUGGGACUUCCAGGAAUUCCAGGGCAGAAAGGCGACAAAGGAGAAACUGGUUCACUCGGUCCACCGGGUGAACAGGGUUUGAAAGGUGUUAAAGGUGAAAGGGGUGAUGCUGGUGAUAAAGGAUUCCCUGGUGUACAGGGAACUCCUGGUUCCACUGGUCUUCCAGGUAUCCCUGGUCAAAAGGGAGAAAAGGGAAAACCGGGUGAACCGGGAUUAGAUGGUUUUCCAGGGCCCAGAGGACAAAAGGGGAACAGAGGUGAAAAAGGAGACAAGGGUGAAAGAAGUCAUCCAGGCAAAAGAGGGCCCAAGGGACAGAAGGGAGAUCAAGGCCCUCCUGGAUUAGACCAACCUUGUCCAGUGAUAAGCCAUUAGAAGGGAAGUGGUUUUGACGUCUUUUUCCCUGAUGGAAUUUGCCUAAUGUAUGUAUUUAUCACUAAAAUAAGCUAUUUAGCCUAGUUACUCUUCUCCCUGUUGUAGUCUUAAGCAUUUUCUUCUAUUCCCUUGUAAUCUCAUGCAAUUUCCUUUAAUGAAGGACCUAAGUUGCUUGCUGUGAUUUGGUCUAACAGAAAUUACUUUAAAUAUCUGAAUAAUGAAGCUUUUUCCUUAAUUCACCAAAAGAUUUAUAAUUAACUAUCCUGAUUCUGCAGGCCCUAAUUCUUCCACAUGGUGGAAACACACGUUAUUUUAAAGAUUGAUUUUAGGUCAUCUGUAAGUUUUUUUUAACAGAAAAAUGCCCCAGCCUAUAGCCAUAAUCUUUCAGUUUUGACAUUAUCUUCAAAAGGUAUUUCUGCAUUUUACACAAUAUGUUCUUUCAGUAUAAUAACACACUUGUUUUAAUGAAUUAUUAUUAUCAUCUGUAAAUAAUACUACUAGCUGUAAUUGUGCUGACUAUAAUAGUCUACAAUUUCUGUUAAAAUGUUUCUUUAUUCGGAUGAAGGACAUGCAUACAGUUUCCAUGUAUAUUACAUUUGCCAAAUUUGUGGUGGCUUAUAAGGUGAAUGAAACAUCCAAGCCAAGUCACUGGAAUAUUAUCAAGCUAAAUUUAACACUGAAGGGUUGAUAUGAUAAACUUUAACUGUUAUCAAAAAGGAGGUGAAUCUCAGAGAAGUAAUCUUAGAAAUUAAAUCCUGUACUUUCUAACAGCUUGGACCAUAGCGUUGUGAGAAUUCAAUUCCUGCCUCACCUCAAAAUCACCAAGGCUAGCCCAGAACAUUAGGACAUGUAGAUCCAAGGUGUGUUGGCAAAUUGGAUCCAGAAUUGGCUUGGUUUUGGGAAGAAGUCGUGGUCGAGGGGUGUUUUUCUGGCCAUAACCAUCAGCGUACUGCAGGGCCUGAUGCUACAACCAUGGCUAUUUUGUCUUUUAUAUAAUUGGAUAAUAAUGCAGGUAGACUGAUUAGUUAUUUUGCUAACAAAAAUUGGUGGAGUGGUAGACAGCAUAGAAAGUUAUGAAAGGAUACAGAGGAACAUAGAUCAUUUGGAAAGAUGGAUCUUGAUCCAGACAAGUGUGAGGUAAUGCACCUUGAGACAGCAAUUACUAACAGGAUGUAUACAGUAAACAGCAGACCUUAGGAAUGUUGAUGUAAAGAGACUUCAGAAUGCAUGUUCAUACUCAUUGAAAAUGGUUAUGCAGGAGUAAGGGGUAAUGAGGAAGGCCUUCAGCAUGCCUGCCUUCAAAUGCUGAGGCACCUGAGCAUCAGAGUUGGGAUAUCAUGUUGCAGCUGUAAAAUGUUAGUCAGGCUGCACUUGGAUUAUUGCCUGUAGUUCUGGUUACUGCACGACAAGAAGCAUGUGGAAGCAUUAGAAAGACUGCUGAGGAUACUCACCAGGAUGUUGCCUGAAAUGGAGACCUGUACUUAUAGAAUGGAUGGGUUGAGUUUAUUCUCAUUGAAUUACAGGAAGCUGAGGAGUGAAUUUAUAGACAUUUAUAAAAUCACGAGGACCCAAUCAGCUAGGGCCCUGAUGGUCUGCCGAUUCCAGGAUGUUGGCACAAGUGAUUACUAAUCAUCAAGCAAGAGUGUGUACAUUCUACUAGCACUUCACCAUAUUGUACAGAACUUCAACUAAUAACGUGUUAAGCCUUGCAUAUUUGGACAAGGAUUGGGUUGUAUGGAACAGAAUAUUAUUCCUUAUUUUCAUUUUAUCCUUUUUUAUUAAAAGUGAAAGGAAAACAUGUUAGCUAUGAUAAAAAAAAAUAUAUUCUACAAUUCCAGUUGUGGAUAUUAAAGCACUAGUGCUUUAUAUAACUUCAAUUGAAGACUGUUUUAGUAACUUCUGGAGAUACCUCUAGGCAUUGUGAUAGUGGGAGUCUAAUUAUGAAAAUGAGUGUUUGACCCUCUCAACGAUGUUAUUUUGCAUGGAGCUGAUGUGAAAAUGCAAUUGCUACAAAACCACAUUUUCAAAGGUUCAUUUAAUGUCAGGCAAAUGUAUACAAUAUCCAUCCUGAAAAGCUUUCCAUGUUUAUGUUACCUGUACCCAUUCAGGCAAAUCCAGGAAUAGCUGGAGAGUUGUAUUCCUCGGUGUCAUCUCUUGUUCUGCCAGUAUGAUCGGGCCAUAAUUAUCAACACCUGGACCUAUUCCAGGAAUAUGAUCAUAUAAACUGCAGUUAGUGCUAGCCUGGACAUAUUAAUCAAGAUUAAUUCAGAUCAUUUUUUAUAAAUAAACUCAGAUUUUGCUUUUACUUAAUGGUUCAAUUAACAGCACUGCAUUCUGCAAUACCUGUAUCAUUUUGAUUAUGUUACAUAUAGGAGCUUUCAGAGCUGCCAAACACUGGAAAUACUGCCAAUCUUUGCAAUUCUUCAUGAAAAGCCUUGGGAGUUAGGGAAAUUUUUCACCUUGAAUUAUCAGCUCUAAAGUUGUAAGAGUAUAUCAGCCUCUAGCUGUACUCACAUUGCCACCUUCGACAUCAGUGAGAGUUCUCAUCUCUGAUAAAGAGUUGGCCACAAAAAUCAGCAGAUACUGUUUAUGAACAACAGUGCUGCCUUAAUGCAGAGUUUUCUAAAAUUGAAGCUCUCUUCAGAUUCUCAGCUUAUCUCUGCCUCAAUUUCAUUAUGAUAGGAACAAAUUUAGGCUGAAGAUAAUGGUUCAGGAACAGACUCUCGUGUGACAUGUCUAGUAUGGAGCAGAUGAAAUUAUCCAAAUUAUCCUUCAAUCGGACUUAAAGUAAUGCAGGUUGACUAUCCCUUAUCUGACAAUCCAAAGUGGAAAAACCUCCAAAAUCCAAAAUAUUUUUGCAUGCUGACAUGCCAUUAUAAAUGGAUAGUUCUACAAAGCACUGGAAGGUUCCCGGGUGAUGCAUAGGUCUAAGAAGUCUAAGAUCAGACAAUUCUAAGAAGUGACCUCAUGGAUGAAAUAAACAGAAUUUAAUUUAAAAAAAUAGAAAAACACGGCAUAAAGUGAAAAUUGCGGUUCUUAAGUAUAUAUUGAAUGAGUGAAUUCCUCAUUGGCGGAGUGAAGAUGUGCUACUUAAUGGUAUACUGAUCAUAAAACAAGGGAAGACCUAUCAUAAGACCAUAAGAUAUAGGAACAGAAGUAGGCCAUUUUGCCCAUCGAAUUUGCUCUGCCAUCCAAUAAGGGGUUGAUCAAAUUCUUCCAGUCAUCCCCACUCCCCUGCUUUCACCCCAUACCCUUUGAUGGCCUGGCUAAUCAAGAACAAAUCUAUCAUGAUGAACUGAAAAUUGAAGGUAAUUGUGAAUAUUCAGCAGGGUCUUUGCAGAUUUUUUUAUGGCACAGCAUUAAAUUUUUUUAAGAUUUUACCAAUUUUAAAGAUAAAGCAUCUGCUGAUCACAAAGCAGCAGAGAAAUUCAUUGAUGAGUUUGACAAGAUUGUCACUGAUGAAGAUCUAACACCAGAACAAAGACUACAUACUGUUUGUUUUUAGACCUUACAUAAAACCUUAAAAAGUAAAAUAAAAAUAUAGUGUACUAUAAACUAUUGAUCAUCCACGGCAUUGUAGGUGGAGACUGAAAGCCUGCCGUUGUUUGUUCAGUAGCUGAUUUGGGUAUUCUCCCAAUGUGGCUGUGUUGCUUUUAUUACCCUGCACACAUAUCUUCAUUAUAUCAAUGGUAUAUAAUAAUUUUUACUGUUAAGUAUGUAUUUGUGAUGAACAAGUGUAAGACAAAGACUGCUUACUGGUAGUACAUAAGUUUAGAGUCAGAAAUAAUGGUGAUCCCAAGCUAUCUCAUUAUAUAUUUCAAAAUCAGAAAAAGUACAAA